GAUGAAGAACGUAGCGAAAUGAGAUAAGUAGUGUGAAUUGCAGAAUUCAGUGAAUCAUCGAAUCUUUGAACGCACAUUGCGCCCCUUGGUAUUCCAUGGGGCAUGCCUGUUCGAGCGUCAUUUGUACCUUCAAGCUCUGCUUGGUGUUGGGUGUUUGUCUCGCCUCUGCGUGUAGACUCGCCUCAAAACAAUUGGCAGCCGGCGUAUUGAUUUCGGAGCGCAGUACAUCUCGCGCUUUGCACUCAUAACGACGACGUCCAAAAGUACAUUUUUACACUCUUGACCUCGGAUCAGGUAGGGAUACCCGCUGAACUUAAGCAUAUCAAUAAGCGGAGGA
rnacentral:misc_RNA from 1 species